AUUGAACGCUGGCGGCAGGCCUAACACAUGCAAGUCGAGCGGAGCGGCGGUCGCGUGAGUAUUACCUAGGAAUCUGCCUGGUACUGGGGGAUAACGUCCGGAAACGGGCGCUAAUACCGCAUACUCUCGCAUGAGCAUAGGUCGGAUGUGCUAGUUGGUGGGGUAAAGGCCUACCAUGGCGACGAUCCGUAACUGGUCUGUGAGGAUGAUCAGUCACACUGGAACUGAGACACGGUCCAGACUCCUACGGGAGGCAGCAGUGGGGAAUAUUGGACAAUGGGCGAAAGCCUGAUCCAGCCAUGCCGCGUGUGUGAAGAAGGUCUUCGGAUUGUAAAGCACUUUAAGUUGGGAGGCGUUACCAACAGAAGAAGCACCGGCUAACUUCGUGCCAGCCGCCGCGGUAAUAC
rnacentral:rRNA from 1 species